rnacentral:rRNA from 1 species
AGAGUUUGAUCCUGGCUCAGGAUGAACGCUAGCGGCAGGCCUAACACAUGCAAGUCGAGGGGCAGCACGGUGUAGCAAUACACUGGUGGCGACCGGCGCACGGGUGCGUAACGCGUAUGCAACCUACCCAUAACAGGGGGAUAACACUGAGAAAUUGGUACUAAUACCCCAUAACAUCAGGACCGGCAUCGGUUCUGGUUGAAAACUCCGGUGGUUAUGGAUGGGCAUGCGUUGUAUUAGCUGGUUGGUGAGGUAACGGCUCACCAAGGCAACGAUACAUAGGGGGACUGAGACGGUUAACCCCCCANAUUGGUACUGAGACGACGGACCAAACUCCGUACGGGAGCA